rnacentral:rRNA from 1 species
GAACGGGUGAGUAAUACAUCGGAACGUACCCAGGAGUGGGGGAUAACGUAGCGAAAGUUACGCUAAUACCGCAUAUUCUGUGAGCAGGAAAGCGGGGGAUCGCAAGACCUCGCGCUCUUGGAGCGGCCGAUGUCGGAUUAGCUAGUUGGUGAGGUAAAAGCUCACCAAGGCGACGAUCCGUAGCAGGUCUGAGAGGAUGAUCUGCCACACUGGGACUGAGACACGGCCCAGACUCCUACGGGAGGCAGCAGUGGGGAAUUUUGGACAAUGGGGGCAACCCUGAUCCAGCCAUGCCGCGUGAGUGAAGAAGGCCUUCGGGUUGUAAAGCUCUUUCGGCGGGGAAGAAAUGGCAACGGCUAAUAUCCGUUGUUGAUGACGGUACCCGCAUAAGAAGCACCGGCUAACUACGUGCCAGCAGCCGCGGUAAUACGUAGGGUGCGAGCGUUAAUCGGAAUUACUGGGCGUAAAGCGUGCGCAGGCGGUUUCGUAAGACAGACGUGAAAUCCCCGGGCUCAACCUGGGAACUGCGUUUGUGACUGCGAGGCUAGAGUACGG